rnacentral:rRNA from 1 species
UACGUAGGGUGCGAGCGUUAAUCGGAAUUACUGGGCGUAAAGCGUGCGCAGGCGGUGAGCUGUGUCCGAUGUGAAAGCCCCGGGCUUAACCUGGGAAUGGCAUUGGAAACUGGCUCGCUGGAGUGUGGCAGAGGGGGGUGGAAUUCCGCGUGUAGCAGUGAAAUGCGUAGAGAUGCGGAGGAACACCGAUGGCGAAGGCAGCCCCCUGGGCUAACACUGACGCUGAGGAGCGAAAGCGUGGGGAGCAAACAGG